rnacentral:lncRNA from 10 species
CGCCGCGCCUCAGCCGGCUCCCGCCCAAGCCCACGGCUUCCACCUUCCCUUUCAGGAGAAGCCGAGGAAGAGGCUGCACAGUUAGAAAAGACGAAGAAGAAGCGAGAAACGCCGCCGCUGCCGGCGCCGCCCCCGCGGAUGCUCACGGGUUGCUGAGAGGGGCUUCAGGCCGGGCCGGGCCGGGCCGCCGCCGCCGCCGCCGUCUCUGUCUCUCAUCUCCCUCGCCUGAGCCCGGCCUCGCCUCACAGCGGCUCAACAUUCAAACUUCCAUCACGGCUGCAGCUUCUGAGAGGAGAGCAUCUUCUAGGAUCAUGUAGUCGGAGAUUAAAAAGAGUUCUACUUUUUCCUUUCCAACCUGGAAGCCUUUUAUUGCAAUUUCUUAUCUGACUGUACUGUCUGAUAUCUCCAGUGCAAGGUUGAAUAAAAGUAGUGAAAACAGACAUUGUUACUUUGCUACCAAAAUUAUAGGCAAAGCAUUCAGUCUUUUGAAGCUUUCAUGUUUAAGGUGAGUGUUUUUUCAUGCCGUUAAUCAGGAUGAGAAAGUUCAGUCUGUUCAUAAUUUGUUGAGAUUUUAUUAUGAUUG